rnacentral:rRNA from 1 species
AAUGAACGCUGGCGGCGUACCUAACACAUGCAAGUCGCACGAGAAAGUCCCAGCUUGCUGGGGCAAGUAAAGUGGCGCACGGGUGAGUAACGCGUGGGUAAUCUACCUCCGAAUUGGGGAUAACACUGCGAAAGCGGUGCUAAUACCGAAUGACAUCCCCGGGACUCCGGUCUUGGUGGUCAACGGUGGCCUCUACAUGUAAGCUAUCGUUUGGAGAUGAGCCCGCGUACCAUUAGCUAGUUGGUAGGGUAACGGCCUACCAAGGCUGCGAUGGUUAGCUGGUCUGAGAGGAUGAUCAGCCACACUGGAACUGACACACGGUCCAGACUCCUACGGGAGGCAGCAGUGAGGAAUUUUGCGCAAUGGGGGAAACCCUGACGCAGCAACGCCGCGUGAGUGAUGAAGGCUUUCGGGUCGUAAAGCUCUGUCAAGUGGGAAGAACCUGCUUUGUGAUAAUACCACGAAGCACUGACGGUACCACUGAAGGAAGCACCGGCUAACUCCGUGCCAGCAGCCGCCGCAGUAA